rnacentral:rRNA from 1 species
AUACGUAGGGAGCGAGCGUUGUCCGGAAUUACUGGGGGUAAAGGGAGCGUAGGCGGGAUGGCAAGUCAGAUGUGAAAUACAUGGGCUCAACCCCGGGGCGGCAUUUGAAACUGCAUUUCUUGAGUGAAGUAGAGGGAAGCGGAAUUCCAGGUGGAGAGGUGAAAUGCGUAGAUAUCAGGAGGAACACCGGUGGCGAAGGCGGCUUACUGGGCUUUUACUGACGCUGAGGCUCGAAAGCGUGGGGAGCAAACAGGAUUAGAUACCCUGGUAGUCCACGCUGUAAACGAUGAUUACUAGGUGUGGGGGGACUGACCCCUUCCGUGCCGCAGUUAACACAAUAAGUAAUCCACCUGGGGAGUACGGCCGCAAGGUUGAAACUCAAAUGAAUUGACGGGG